GUCGGGAGUCUUGCACAAUGGGGGAAACCCUGAUGCAGCGACGUCGCGUGUGGGAUGAAGUAUUUCGGUAUGUAAACCACUUUUGCGGGGGGCGAAAAAAAUGACGGUACCCCGCGAAUAAGCCCCGGCUAACUACGUGCCAGCAGCCGCGGUAAUACGUAGGGGGCGAGCGUUGCUCGGAUUGACUGGGCGUAAAGCGCGCGUAGGCGGUCCAUUAAGUGUGCGGUGAAAUUCAGAGGCUCAACCUCUGUCCCGCCGCGCAAACUGGUGGUCUUGAGAUUGGGAGGGGGAUGCGGAAUUCCUGGUGUAGCGGUGAAAUGCAUUGAUAUCAGGAGGAACACCGGCGGCGAAAGCGGCAUCCUGGCUUAUAUCUGACGCUGAGGCGCGAAAGCGUGGGUAGCAAACGGGAUUAGAAACCCCUGUAGUCC
rnacentral:rRNA from 1 species